AGCAAAUGAAAACAACCACGGUUUUAAAGCCCCAUAAAAGACCGUAUAUGUAGCAGAAAUGAACCCUGCCAAUGUUUACUAUGAGGACCUAUUACUCCUUUAUGCUACUCGAGUGGAUUUUAAACUCAAAUGAAUGCUACCACUGCCCACUAAAGAGCAAGUUAGAGAAGCACAUUCAUACACCUGCUUAACAGCGCCCCGACUGCCGCCCCCACCACUUCCCGGGACCAGGGCCAAGCGGCUGACCUGGAAACGGGGCUGCAGACCCCAGCCACUUACACUCUGCUGUCCCAACAAGUAGGCUCUGGAGUCACACUUCAUUUGGCCCGGCACACCCUCAUCCCCAUCACCCAGACCCUCAGCUGCAAGGAGGAAAUUACACGGCCUCAAAAAGGAAAAGGCUGGCGGCGGGCAGAAGUGGAUGGUCCUGAGCGGUCUCGUUCCUGCUCCCCUAGUCCAAGAACAUGACACUGCAAUAAUAGCAAUGAACCGCUUCAGCUUUUUCACUUCUGCAGAAGCUAAAACAACUUCUCCAAUAUAUAAAGGGGCUGGAAAGCUAAUUUCCUGGGAAAGAAAUACACAGCCUGGUCCUGGCAUUUUAGUUCCCAGGAGAGCUGAGAUAAGUCCGUUGAUCAAAACUCCAUGUACAAUUGUAUUUCCAAACUUGGUGUGUUUUGCAAAGUCUUCAUUCAAAUGCAAAGGAUUGACAUCCCCUGUUAAUUCUGAGAAGGUAGCCACAUCCGUCUGUGUGAAGGCCCUCCUAAGUUCAGCGCGGUCUCCAACUUUGAUGUGCAUAUGCUGAAAGUGCUGCAGGGUCACCACUGGCAGGUUCAGACAGACUGUCCUCCGAAGCCCACCCCACCAAAGGUGAUGGCUGGAAAUUAGUGGGAACAUCUUCAGCACCCUCAGAUUUCAUCAAGAGCUUUUAGCCUGCUUCAGUCUUCAAACAUGCAGGCACCAAAAAAUAAAUAUGAGAGUGGACGAACAUUUCCAAAAUGGAAGACUAUUCAUUCAGUCCAAUACUAGUUCCCUACUAUUACCAGAUAAUGCAAGGAGAAAUGGAGAAACCUAGGAGAGAAAGAAAAAGGUUAAGGCAUUGGGAGAAACCACACUGAAGCACAGGGCAAUGGGGAAACAUGCCCAGUUUUACAGGAUAAACAAAGCUGAUGCAGGAGCAUUUUACAGAGCAUCCCGAGAGGAAGCCUUCGAUAACGAGUGGUCACAUCUCA
rnacentral:lncRNA from 1 species